AGUGAACGCUGGCGGUAGGCCUAACACAUGCAAGUCGAACGGCAGCACAGUAAGAGCUUGCUCUUACGGGUGGCGAGUGGCGGACGGGUGAGGCAUACAUCGCAAUCUACUUUUUCGUGGGGGAUAACGUAGGGAAACUUACGCUAAUACCGCAUACUACCUACGGGUGAAAGCAGGGGAUCUUCGCACCUUGCGCGAUUGAAUGAGCCGAUGUCGGAUUAGCUAGUUGGCGGGGUAAAGGCCCACCAAGGCGACGAUCCGUAGCUGGUCUGAGAGGAUGAUCAGCCACACUGGAACUGAGACACGGUCCAGACUCCUACGGGAGGCAGCAGUGGGGAAUAUUGGACAAUGGGCGCAAGCCUGAUCCAGCCAUACCGCGUGGGUGAAGAAGGCCUUCGGGUUGUAAAGCCCUUUUGUUGGGAAAGAAAAGCAGCAGGUUAAUACCCCGCUGUUCUGACGGUACCCAAAGAACAAGCACCGGCUAACUUCGUG
rnacentral:rRNA from 1 species